rnacentral:rRNA from 1 species
AAAACAACCCUACGGGAGGCAGCAGUGGGGAAUAUUGGACAAUGGGCGCAAGCCUGAUCCAGCCAUGCCGCGUGAGUGAUGAAGGCCUUAGGGUUGUAAAGCUCUUUCAGUGGGGACGAUAAUGACGGUACCCACAGAAGAAGCCCCGGCUAACUUCGUGCCAGCAGCCGCGGUAAUACGAAGGGGGCUAGCGUUGUUCGGAUUUACUGGGCGUAAAGCGCACGUAGGCGGAUCGUUAAGUCGGGGGUGAAAUCCUGGAGCUCAACUCCAGAACUGCCUUCGAUACUGGCGAUCUUGAGUCCGGAAGAGGUGAGUGGAACUCCUAGUGUAGAGGUGGAAU